rnacentral:rRNA from 1 species
GUCCACGCCCUAAACGAUGCAUAUUUGGUGUGGGUCAUUCAGUUGAUCCGUGCCGGAGCUAACGCGUUAAAUAUGCCGCCUGGGGAGUACAGUCGCAAGGCUGAAACUCAAAGGAAUUGACGGGGCCCGCACAAGCGGUGGAGCAUGUGGUUCAAUUCGACGCAACGCGAAGAACCUUACCUGGGCUCGAACGGCUUCUCAACGCCGGUAGAAAUACCGGUACCCCGCAAGGGGGUGGAGUCGAGGUGCUGCAUGGCUGUCGU